rnacentral:rRNA from 1 species
GAUGAACGCUGGCGGCGUGCCUAAUACAUGCAAGUCGAGCGAACGGACGAGAAGCUUGCUUCUCUGAUGUUAGCGGCGGACGGGUGAGUAACACGUGGAUAACCUACCUAUAAGACUGGGAUAACUUCGGGAAACCGGAGCUAAUACCGGAUGAUAUUUUGAACCGCAUGGUUCAAAAGUGAAAGACGGUCUUGCUGUCACUUAUAGAUGGAUCCGCGCUGCAUUAGCUAGUUGGUAAGGUAACGGCUUACCAAGGCAACGAUGCAUAGCCGACCUGAGAGGGUGAUCGGCCACACUGGAACUGAGACACGGUCCAGACUCCUACGGGAGGCAGCAGUAGGGAAUCUUCCGCAAUGGGCGAAAGCCUGACGGAGCAACGCCGCGUGAGUGAUGAAGGUCUUCGGAUCGUAAAACUCUGUUAUUAGGGAAGAACAUAUGUGUAAGUAACUGUGCACAUCUGGACGGUACCUAAUCAGAAAGCCACGGCGAACUACGG